rnacentral:rRNA from 1 species
GACGAACGCUGGCGGCGUGCUUAACACAUGCAAGUCGAACGAAGUGGCGAACGGGUGAGUAACGCGUAAUCAACCUGCCCUUCAGAGGGGGACAACAGUUGGAAACGUCUGCUAAUACCGCAUACUGAAGGAGUGGAUUGCGUCCGAUUAGCUAGUUGGAGGGGUAACGGCCCACCAAGGCGAUGAUAAGUAGCCGGUCUGAGGGGAUGAACGGCCACAUUGGGACCGGGGCACGGCCCAGGCUCCUACGGGAGGCAGCAGGGGGGAAUCUUCCGCAAGGGACGAAAGUCUGACGGAGCAACGCCGCGUGAGUGAUAACAGCCUUCGGGUUGUAAAGCUCUGUUAAGCGGGACGCGGUACCGGAAUAGAAAGCCACGGCUAACUACGUGCCAGCAGCCGCGGUAAUAC